UUCCAUUCCUUUGGAAAUGUUUCAUCUGUAUAGAUAUAUAGAUUACUUUUUCUGAUAUGCAUUGACAUUGGCUGGUGGUAUGCUCGAAAACUGGAAUAUCCCCUACAUAUAAUGGUAUGCUUUGAAAAAUAAA